AGAACAGAAAAUGAAGCUACCGAAUCAAAUGACUGGAUGAGCCCUGGAUAUGCUAAUGCUGGCAGCAGCCCAGUUCCUACACCCCCUUCAGGGAAAGGUUUAAAAGCAUCCACCAAGCCUAAGGCUACGAAGGGCCAGAAAUCUGGUCCUCGGACCCCUUUGGGUUUUGGUUCUCCGGGCAAUCCUUCUACUCCUGUUGGUGGCUGCCGCUAUGAUAGCUCCCUCGGUGAGAAGAAUCAACUAUGGUUUUCCUGUUCUUUUGUUCACGUCUCCAUGGCAUCUUGAUGAGUUUUCCUUUUUUUAAUUGCGAGGUAUUGUUGCCUUUUAGGGCUCUUGACAAAGUUCCUGAACUUGCUAAAAGGUGCACCUGGUGGCAUUGUUGAUCUGAAUAAUGCUGCAGAAACUCUAGAGGUACAGAAAAGGCGUAUAUAUGACAUCACUAAUGUUCUUGAAGGGAUAGGACUGAUAGAAAAGAAGCUUAAGAACAACAUCCGUUGGAAAGGAGUUGACGACUCUCGACCCGGAGAUUAGUGAUGAUAUGUCCAUUUUACAGGCAGAUAUCAAUGCUCUCACACUGCAAGAGCGCAAUUUGGAUGAACGAAUAAGGUUAGACACCAGUUGUUAAAAGGCUCAUUUGUUCUUGCGAUGGGGACAACGAGAUACGGUUCUGGAGCAUCAAGCAUGGAAAUGUUGUCCGAAUUUUCAAGGUUUCUCAGCUUGACUUCGUUUUUUGUCGACCUGUA